AUUGAACGCUGGCGGCAUGCCUUACACAUGCAAGUCGAACGGUAACGGGCCUUCGGGUGCCGACGAGUGGCGAACGGGUGAGUAAUACAUCGGAACGUGCCCGAUCGUGGGGGAUAACGAGGCGAAAGCUUUGCUAAUACCGCAUACGAUCUACGGAUGAAAGCAGGGGACCGCAAGGCCUUGCGCGGACGGAGCGGCCGAUGGCAGAUUAGGUAGUCGGUGGGAUAAAAGCUUACCAAGCCGACGAUCUGUAGCUGGUCUGAGAGGAUGAUCAGCCACACUGGGACUGAGACACGGCCCAGACUCCUACGGGAGGCAGCAGUGGGGAAUUUUGGACAAAGGGCGCAAGCCUGAUCCAGCCAUGCCGCGUGCAGGAUGAAGGCCUUCGGGUUGUAAACUGCUUUUGUACGGAACGAAAAGCCUUCUUUUAAUACAGGAGGGUCAUGACGGUACCGUAAGAAUAAGCACCGGCUAACUACGUG
rnacentral:rRNA from 1 species